rnacentral:tRNA from 1 species
GAGCGUGUAGCCUAGCGGUAGUGUGCACGCCUGAGAUGAGGUGAUUGUGGGUUCGAAUCCCCCUGGCGCC